rnacentral:rRNA from 1 species
CAGCACCUCAAGUGGUCAGGAUGAUUAUUUGGCCUAAAGCGUCCGUAGCCGGCCGAGCAAGUCUUCCGUUAAAUCCAGCGUCUCAAGCGUUGGACUGCGGGAGAUACUACACGGCUAGAGAGUGGGAGAGGUCAGCGGUAUUCUGGGGGUAGGGGCGAAAUCCUUUGAUCCCCGGAGGACCACCAGUGGCGAAGGCUGCUGACUAGAACACGUCUGACGGUCAGGGACGAAAGCUGGGGUAGCGAACCGGAUUAGAUACCCGAGUAGUCC